rnacentral:rRNA from 1 species
UACGGGGGGGGCAAGCGUUGUUCGGAAUUACUGGGCGUAAAGGGCUCGUAGGCGGCCAACUAAGUCAGACGUGAAAUCCCCAGGCUUAACCUGGGAACUGCGUCUGAUACUGGAUGGCUUGAAUUCGGGAGAGGGAUGCAGAAUUCCAGGUGUAGCGGUGAAAUGCGUAGAUAUCGUAAGGAAGACCAGUGGCGAAGGCGAGUCUCUGGACAGCAACUGACGCUGAGGCACGAAGGCCAGGGGAGCAAACGGG